GACGAACGCUGGCGGCGUGCCUAAUACAUGCAAGUAGAACGCUGAAGGAGGAGCUUGCUUCUCUGGAUGAGUUGCGAACGGGUGAGUAACGCGUAGGUAACCUGCCUGGUAGCGGGGGAUAACUAUUGGAAACGAUAGCUAAUACCGCAUAAUAGUAGAUGUUGCAUGACAUUUGCCUAAAAGGUGCAAUUGCAUCACUACCAGAUGGACCUGCGUUGUAUUAGCUAGUUGGUGGGGUAACGGCUCACCAAGGCGACGAUACAUAGCCGACCUGAGAGGGGGGUCGGCCACACUGGGACUGAGACACGGCCCCGACUCCUACGGGGAGCAGCAGUAGGGAAUCUUCGGCCAUGGACGGAAGUCUGACCGAGCAACGCCGCGUGAGUGAAGAAGGUUUUCGGAUCGUAAAGCUCUGUUGUAAGAGAAGAACGAGUGUGAGAGUGGAAAGUUCCCACUGUGACGGUAUCUUACCAGAAAGGGACGGCUAACUACGUG
rnacentral:rRNA from 1 species